UACGGGGGGGGUAAGCGUUGUUCGGAAUUACUGGGCGUAAAGGGCUCGUAGGCGGCCAACUAAGUCAGACGUGAAAUCCCUCAGCUUAACCGGGGAACUGCGCCUGAUACUGGAUGGCUUGAGUUCGGGAGAGGGAUGCGGAAUUCCAGGUGUAGCGGUGAAAUGCGUAGAUAUCUGGAGGAACACCGGUGGCGAAGGCGGCAUCCUGGACCGACACUGACGCUGAGGAGCGAAAGCCAGGGGAGCAAACGGG
rnacentral:rRNA from 1 species